rnacentral:rRNA from 1 species
UACGGGGGGGCAAGCGUUGUUCGGAAUUACUGGGCGUAAAGGGCUCGUAGGCGGCCAACUAAGUCAGACGUGAAAUCCCUCGGCUUAACCGGGGAACUGCGUCUGAUACUGGAUGGCUAGAGGUUGGGAGAGGGAUGCGGAAUUCCAGGUGUAGCGGUGAAAUGCGUAGAUAUCUGGAGGAACACCGGUGGCGAAGGCGGCAUCCUGGACCAAUUCUGACGCUGAGGAGCGAAAGCCAGGGGAGCAAAGCGGGG